GACGAACGCUGGCGGCGUGCCUAAUACAUGCAAGUUGAGCGCUGAAGGUUGGUACUUGUACCAACUGGAUGAGCAGCGAACGGGUGAGUAACGCGUGGGGAAUCUGCCUUUGAGCGGGGGACAACAUUUGGAAACGAAUGCUAAUACCGCAUAAAAACUUUAAACACAAGUUUUAAGUUUGAAAGAUGCAAUUGCAUCACUCAAAGAUGAUCCCGCGUUGUAUUAGCUAGUUGGUGAGGUAAAGGCUCACCAAGGCGAUGAUACAUAGCCGACCUGAGAGGGUGAUCGGCCACAUUGGGACUGAGACACGGCCCAAACUCCUACGGGAGGCAGCAGGAGGGAAUCUUCGGCAAUGGACGAAAGUCUGACCGAGCAACGCCGCGUGAGGGAAGAAGGUUUUCGGAUCGUAAAACUCUGUUGGUAGAGAAGAACGUUGGUGAGAGUGGAAAGCUCAUCAAGUGACGGUAACUACCCAGAAAGGGACGGCUAACUACGUG
rnacentral:rRNA from 1 species